GGUGAUGUUGGAGAGAAAAAAAGCCUGGAAGGUUAAAGACCUCAGGAAGACAGCUGUCCCUUGUCACCUCCACCACCAGGCAGGACUUAAACCUGCAGACUCCUGAUCCGUAGUUAGAUGCGUUCAUGAUCCACUGAGCAACUGGCCCCAGGCUCUGAUCCCACCUGCUGUCCUCACUUCAGGACCACAUGGAUUUAUUGGUGGUUAAAGGGAAGUGGCAGGAUCUCACCUUGCUCCCCCCUGCCCAUUCCAUGUCAGCCUUGCCCUCCUCACUUGUGGUCCCACUGGUUCCACCACCCAGGAGAGGAGAUGCCUCUGCUGAGCUCCAGGCUCAGCUCAGCUGCUCUGGAGGGCUGGAGGGCACAUCUUGCCUUCCUAUGGGAUGUGUGGUUAAAUUUCCCAGGCCUUAUAGAACUCUCUGUGGUGCCCAAUGGAGGAGAAAGCUUAGCCCAAGGCCAUGUCCACUUGCUCCAGCCUGGUGACAGAGGGAUGGGCAGAUAUCCCCUGGACUGACCAUAGCACCCCAUGUUACCCUGCCAGGCAAGCAUGUCCAGAAGUGACUGAGCCCGGAGUUAAAAAGUUUCCUGCAUUUUCCUGAGGAAGGCAUUAACUCCUUCUUGAGGGAUCCUGUACAAGGGUGGAGUUUUCCUCUGAAGCUGUAGAUGGGCCUGGUCUUCCUCUGGGAAUCCAGUGGAGAAGAAAGCUGCUCCUCUGGGAAUCCAGUGCAAAAGGCUGCUGUGGUGUGCCAAAUCUCAGAUUAUAUCCAGGUAGGAAUGCUUGGCUCCUCCCCCUGGGUGGAGCAUCUCCCAAUGGGAUUAUGUAAUUUUUCAGCCAUGCAAUGACACUCACUGGCUCAUGAACAGAAGAUAUUUCCUGGAUUGGUUGUGGAAGAGACAAAGAAAAGCUGCCCAAUUAACAGAAAAUACCUGCCCCACCUCCAACAGAUGGAAAUAGAAUACACACCCCCAGCCCAAGACCCCCUCCCACAGAACAGCUCCCCAGAA